UCUUAUCUGCAUGAAGACAACAACAUAUGUCACUAAACACUCUCCUUUGGAGUAGACAAUGGCAGACUCCUCUCCACUCUACACUGCUCAGCCCCCCACCCCCUCAUCCGUUUAAGCACACAACAUGUUGUCUUCCGUCAAAUUACAAAAUAUACAUUGCGUUUUCCCCUAAUAAAAUGCAAUCUCUCCAUGGAACGGUUAUAUCGCCAUUUUGUCCUACACCCUAAUACAAUGUUAGGUGUAAGACUUUGUGGUAAGUAAGAUAUAACAUAUGUAACAUAGUAUAUUAAAUGACAAACUGUAGUUUUGACUGUGUGUAGCGCAUAAAAGUCAAAGUUUUGACCGAAUCCGUGUUGCGUAAAAGUGCAUUAUCAUCGAUCAGUACGCGCCAUGGCUCCGUGUAUUUUCGCCCGCUUGUUCCGACCCAAGAGCUCCCAGUGGUCCCGGCCAGGGAUCCCUCUUUACGGCACAACUAUGCUCAGCUUCCUCCUACGCCGCGAGCAGCCACUUUAACUGCAGCAUGAUUGCGAUCCCCUCUCCACAGCCACCCCGCCCAGACCAGGAACAAAGGAAAGCUGCACAAAAUGCGCUACCGAAAAAAUGCCACAAAACGAUUUCCAGACAAAAACCCCGAUGUGAAACUCACCAGACAUGAUUGUUGAGAUGAAGAGAGGCUCCCUGGAGAAGACCUGUGGGACUCCACAACGUCCUUUUCUGCCUCAGCAAAAUGGCCAAGAAUGAAAUUUGCGCAAAAGUAUUCAAAAAUCUCAACACAAAUGUCCUGCAGCAGAGCCAGAGCAUAUAACAAUAUUGUAAUAUAGCUGGGGACAUAUUAGUUUGAGAUUUUCUCCCUCCUUGCAUUCUAUUUAAAACCCCUAGAACUCAAUGAUUUGACAAUGAUUUGAUUGCGCGUUACUUUCAAUUUGAAUAUUCAGCGGCAACAGAGUUUUACCAAUUUUUCAAUAAAAAACACUUCACAUUAACAUUGUAUACGCUUCACUAUAAUGUAAUAUAGUAGUAUUUCACACUUUGACCAAAAAUAAACCAUAGUUUUAUUAAUUUUAUGUUCCUUUUGCAAUAUCAGAGCAUCACACCCCCUCAUUAAGCACCACAGGCCUAUAUGCUUUUUGUGCACAACUUUAACAGCGGUUCACCUUAGAUCUGCGAUCACGCAUUCACUGCGGCCAGUUUACAUGACCACAACAUAUUCAAAGAUAUCUUUAAGCUUUAUUUCAUAGAACACAUGCCAAAGUGGCAAAGAAGUGGGCGUGGCAAAUGACAGUAGCCAUCUUUGCCAUCGCAGGCCUUGAGCUCCUCUUUCCAAGUGCACUGAGUUCUCCCACCUGCUGAAGGAUGCAGGGGGGAGACUUAGCAGCUCUUUGCUUUUAUAAGUUUACCUUUUAGAUACUUUAAAUUUAAAAAAAAAUAAACAAACACAAUUGUUAUAAUUUACAAUUUCCCAGUGAGGAGCCACAGUUUGACAGGGACCAUUUUCACAUUUAAAUGUAGGCUACCUUCUUAACUCAACACCAAGUCACUUCCAUAUAUAUUUGAUUAAAGCUAAAAUGCUUUUAUUUUAGCUCAUUUUUAUUUUUAGAAGGUUGCAUUGAGAACUUUGGCAGCUUCGUGCACCAGACAGCAGCAAUAUAUUCAAAUCAGCCGGUACAAAAUGUUGCAACCAACGGACGUUUUCUUAUUUGUUUUUAUUCUUUUUUUUUUUAAAUUGGGGGACACAUGACAAGUAACACAACUAUUAGAAAUUACAGCAACAUUAAAUAGUUUACACUUAUGUCGUAUAGCCAGGUGUAGGCUACACAUCUGGAGCAAUGCUUUCUCUCAGACUGGUCAAACGUCAUCCAAUUAAUCCCGGAAUUAUAAUUAUUAUCAUUAAUACUACGAUAGUAGCUACCACGACUAUUAUACUUAUUGCUAUUAGCCUAUCAGUUGCAGUUGUAGUUGCAGUAGCCUAUCCCCACUCUA